rnacentral:rRNA from 1 species
GAUGAACGCUGGCGGCGUGCUUAACACAUGCAAGUCGAACGGAACUACUCCAAUGAGAGUCUUCGGAAAGGAUUUGGUUUAGUUUAGUGGCGGACGGGUGAGUAACGCGUGGGUAACCUGCCCUAUACAGGGGGAUAACAGUUGGAAACGACUGUUAAUACCGCAUAAGCGCACAGGAGCGCAUGCUCCGGUGUGAAAAACUCCGGUGGUAUAGGAUGGACCCGCGUCUGAUUAGCUGGUUGGCGGGGUAACGGCCCACCAAGGCGACGAUCAGUAGCCGGCCUGAGAGGGUGAACGGCCACAUUGGGAAUGAGACACGGCCCAAACUCCUACGGGAGGCAGCAGUGGGGAAUAUUGCACAAUGGGGGAAACCCUGAUGCAGCGACGCCGCGUGAGCGAAGAAGUAUCUCGGUAUGUAAAGCUCUAUCAGCAGGGAAGAAAAUGACGGUACCUGACGAAGAAGCCCCGGCUAACUACGUG